rnacentral:rRNA from 1 species
GGACGAACGCUGGCGGCGUGCCUAACACAUGCAAGUCGAACGGAACUUUUUUGAAAGUAUUUCUUCGGAAUGAAUUUGACUAAGUUUAGUGGCGGACGGGUGAGUAACGCGUGAGUAACCUGCCUCCGAGAGGGGAAUAACAAUCUGAAAAGAUUGUUAAUACCGCAUAAUAUAGCGAAGUCGCAUGGCAUUGCUAUCAAAGAUUUAUCGCUCGGAGAUGGGCUCGCGUCCGAUUAGCUAGUUGGCGGGAUAACAGCCCACCAAGGCGACGAUCGGUAGCCGACCUGAGAGGGUGAUCGGCCACAUUGGAACUGAGACACGGUCCAGACUCCUACGGGAGGCAGCAGUGGGGAAUAUUGGGCAAUGGGCGAAAGCCUGACCCAGCAACGCCGCGUGAGGGAAGAAGGGUUUCGGCUCGUAAACCUCUGUCCUAUGGGACGAAGAAGUGACGGUACCAUAGGAGGAAGCCCCGGCUAACUACGUG